GUUCGGCAGCGGGGUACCCGUACAAGCAAGUAGAACGCUGAAGAGAGGAGCUUGCUCUUCUUGGAUGAGUUGCGAACGGGUGAGUAACGCGUAGGUAACCUGCCUUGUAGCGGGGGAUAACUAUUGGAAACGAUAGCUAAUACCGCAUAACAAUGGAUGACACAUGUCAUUUAUUUGAAAGGGGCAAUUGCUCCACUACAAGAUGGACCUGCGUUGUAUUAGCUAGUAGGUGAGGUAAUGGCUCACCUAGGCGACGAUACAUAGCCGACCUGAGAGGGUGAUCGGCCACACUGGGACUGAGACACGGCCCAGACUCCUACGGGAGGCAGCAGUAGGGAAUCUUCGGCAAUGGGGGCAACCCUGACCGAGCAACGCCGCGUGAGUGAAGAAGGUUUUCGGAUCGUAAAGCUCUGUUGUAAGUCAAGAACGGGUGUGAGAGUGGAAAGUUCACACUGUGACGGUAGCUUACCAGAAAGGGACGGCUAACUACGUGCCAGCAGCCGCGGUAAUACGUAGGUCCCGAGCGUUGUCCGGAUUUAUUGGGCGUAAAGCGAGCGCAGGCGGUUUGAUAAGUCUGAAGUUAAAGGCUGUGGCUCAACCAAUAGUUCGCUUUGGAAACUGUCAAACUUGAGUGCAGAAGGGGAGAGUGGAAUUCCAUGUGUAGCGGUGAAAUGCGUAGAUAUAUGGAGGAACACCGGUGGCGAAAGCGGCUCUCUGGUCUGUAACUGACGCUGAGGCUCGAAAGCGUGGGGAGCGAACAGGAUUAGAUACCCUGGUAGUCCACGCCGUAAACGAUGAGUGCUAGGUGUUGGAUCCUUUCCGGGAUUCAGUGCCGCAGCUAACGCAUUAAGCACUCCGCCUGGGGAGUACGACCGCAAGGUUGAAACUCAAAGGAAUUGACGGGGGCCCGCACAAGCGGUGGAGCAUGUGGUUUAAUUCGAAGCAACGCGAAGAACCUUACCAGGUCUUGACAUCCCGAUGCUAUUUCUAGAGAUAGAAAGUUACUUCGGUACAUCGGUGACAGGUGGUGCAUGGUUGUCGUCAGCUCGUGUCGUGAGAUGUUGGGUUAAGUCCCGCAACGAGCGCAACCCCUAUUGUUAGUUGCCAUCAUUCAGUUGGGCACUCUAGCGAGACUGCCGGUAAUAAACCGGAGGAAGGUGGGGAUGACGUCAAAUCAUCAUGCCCCUUAUGACCUGGGCUACACACGUGCUACAAUGGUUGGUACAACGAGUUGCGAGUCGGUGACGGCGAGCUAAUCUCUUAAAGCCAAUCUCAGUUCGGAUUGUAGGCUGCAACUCGCCUACAUGAAGUCGGAAUCGCUAGUAAUCGCGGAUCAGCACGCCGCGGUGAAUACGUUCCCGGGCCUUGUACACACCGCCCGUCACACCACGAGAGUUUGUAACACCCGAAGUCGGUGAGGUAACCUUUGGAGCCAGCCCCGUUGUUUGUGCCGUCACCGGUC
rnacentral:rRNA from 1 species